UCUUUUUUUCUUCUAUUUUUUUUCUUUUUUUGCCUUAGACAUGUCAUGAGGGGUCGAUUUUUGGGCUCCGAUGAAGGGGACGUCACCAGACCGUCGAUCCUCCGCCCUUAGGAGCCCUAAAAAUCCCCUUUUUUCUCUUCCCCUUUCUAAAAUAAAGGUUUCUUUUUAAAAAAAAAAAACAAGUUUUGAUCUUGAAAAAAGUUUUGAUUUUUUUAAAAAAAAGAGAAAGUUUAAAUUUUU
rnacentral:lncRNA from 1 species